AUAACCCGGGCCAAAAGCUC
rnacentral:miRNA from 1 species